rnacentral:lncRNA from 1 species
AGCCAAUAAGUUUAGGACAAAGGGAAAAAAUUAAGGGACAGAGACUUGAGCAAAGAUGAGAAGACUCUGUUCCUUGCCACUGUCGAUGGCCCCAGAUUCAGCCCCAUGACCAUGACGGCCAGUAACAGGGCAGCAGAGUCCAGACUACAGGGUCCUCAGGGAUACAGGGAUUCCAUUUUACCUCAGUUUGGAUUUCUCAACAGCAAAAGAAUUUGGUGACCACAGCUCUGGAAAGCGCCUUCUUUAGAAAAUGGGUUCUUCCACCAGGGUUCAUAGAAUGGGCCUCAGGGAUGCUCAUUCCUGCAGUCAAAGAAGAUUCUCAUAAGAUUUGGGGCUGCCGAAAUGUCCACUCUAGCCUAGCAUCCUGAGAGAACUCAGCUCUAACUCUGCACAGAACUAAAGAAGUCAUUUCCAUUUUCUGCACACUGUGGUAUUUUAAAAUGUUAACCUUCUUAGUACCUACUUACCAAGAAAAAGUUUCAUCCUUGCUUAGAUGGCGG